rnacentral:tRNA from 1 species
AACUAUUUUAAAAGGUGUCUUGAAAACACCCAUAAGAAAAAACCUUCUAAUAGUUU